CCGUCGCGACGCACCGCGCGCGCAACAACUUUCCGUUGCGUACAUGUACUCUACGUGAAUAUGUUAGUGUAGGUUCACUCGUAUACGUUACGUCGCGUCCUAACCAACAAUUUUUUUUCAUCGUUGAAUCUUUCAAUCUUUCGACCGUUGUUCGAUUAUCCAGGAUACGAUUAACGAUCAUCUCCUGUGUAUUUAAUGGAGAACAUGCCUGAAAACCGUAGUGAUGGUGACUCGCCAACUUGCCUGUUUGCCUGCCUGCACAUCGAUGUUAGCUGCUGAGAAUUGUUGCGACAAGUCGAGACAUGGGAAUUGUUGAAGCACAGGAGAACAUGGUCGUAUGCAGUUAUCAUUGAAGGUGGUGGACACUUGGAUUCUUCGUCAACUUCUUCUCGUCUCCAAUGGUAGAAGAAGGCGGUCUGACGUAAAAGAACGUUUCGCAAGCAACCGAG